rnacentral:tRNA from 1 species
GGGCGGUUAGCUCAGCGGUUUAGAGCACCUGCCUUACAAGCAGGGGGUCGCUGGUUCGAAUCCAGCACCGCCCACCC